UCGAACAACAGGUUGCGCGAAUUCAUCUGAAAUGUUUGUGCAUACCUACUUGAGCUGAACUAGUUAAAAUCGCUCAAUUGGACAGGGCAAAGUCUGCACAGCAACAAGACCCACGAUUGCGUCGCACACUUCCUAAGCAUCUUGUGCGUUUCUAGUCCAAUUGCUGAUGCUUUCUGCCUGCAAAAUCUGCCACAACCGUAGCAAUGCCUUGACAACCGGACCUAGGCAUAGGGCGAAACUCAAACAUUUUGACAACUCGACGGUGGCGUUUCUUUUUUUCACUCACAUCAAUGCAUCGAAGUUGGAAAGGUCUUUGGAUAUCAGUGCACGAGAAUUCCCACGUGGGCAAUUAAAAAUGAAGUACUGGUGCACUCAGAAGUCUUCAUCAUCAGGCAAUCUGAACUACUAUAUUUAGUUGGAGCAGCUUCUUCGUCGGGCUUCGCUCGAAAUGCACGCUUAUAAAAAACAAAACUAGGCUGGACACUCAAAAUCGAUCGAUUCAGAUGAUAUUAAUUCUUGAGAUUAUAGAUAAUGUGACAUACGACAUCAUUAAGAUCUAAUUUAAAUAGCCAGUACGAGGAUGUUGUUUUUUAUUGUUUUUAUUAUGAGGCAAAAUUAUCUUUUGAUCUUAACUAUAGGUGCUGGAACGGCGUUAAGAAAUAAAGAAAGGUUUACUGUUAUCUCAUAGGACAAACUCGACCUGUCAAAAGUGCUUUGUUUUUGUUAAAACACUUUCAAAGCUUAUACAAGUAUGUACAGUAUUGUGCGUUACGGAUAUGAUGCUCUGCGCCAGCAGUGCGCGCCCUAGAUACUGAGAUGCACUCGAUAGAAGCUUGGCAAAUUGAUGGCAGUUGUAUUGGUGUGUCAUAUCGUCGACAAGCUCUCAUUAUUUAUUUAUUUUUUUUGACAUUAGGAUACCAUGGAGCUGUUGGAGGAGGACCUCACAUGCCCGAUAUGCUGCUGUCUCUUUGAGGACCCGCGCGUUCUGCCUUGCUCCCACAGCUUUUGCAAGAAGUGUCUCGAGGGCAUUCUGGACGGUAACCGAAGCCCCGCAUGGAGACCUCCGUUCAAAUGCCCGACCUGCCGAAAGGAGACCGUGCACAACGGCAUCGCAAGCUUGCAAGUCAAUUACUCCUUACGCGGCAUCGUUGAGAAGUACAACAGGAUUCGGGUGCUCCCUAGAAUGUCCCUCUGUCGAGCUCACAGUGGGCAACCGCUCAACAUUUUCUGUGCCACGGAUCUAAAACUUAUCUGUGGUUUUUGCGCCACAACAGGUGAUCAUAAAGGACACAAAUUUUGUGCAUUAGAAGAGGCUUACGAAAAAGAGAAGGUAGCGUUUGAAGAGUUGUUUCGUGUCGUCGAGGGAUGGAGAAGUGCGGAGGUGCAUUCGUCCUUGGAAUCGUUGGAGGGAGCGAAGAAAAAAGCGCUGGAGAGGGUCUCGCGGGACGCAGAUGGGGUCUCUCAAUACUUUGACAAACUCUUGCGCACGCUAGGGCACAAACGGAGCGAAAUACUCUCUGACUUCGAGACUCUGAAGCUCGCGGUCAUGCAGACAUUUGAUCCCGAGAUCAACCGACUGCGCUCGGCGCUCGAGGAACAACGGCGAGCUCUCGCCAUCGCCGAAUCCUUCCGGUCACUGUCUGAUCCUCUUACUUUUCUGCAGCAGAUGCAAGACUUCAGAGAAAAACUGCGCGUGAUUCAAGCAACACCACUGCCGUCUCGAACUGACUUGGAAGUGGGUUUGCAUAACCUGCAGAGCUUCGAUGUGAAGGAAUGGGAUCGAGUGCGCCUUGGAGAGGUGGACAAGCUGUGCGCCCCCUAUGAAAGCGGCUCAUACUUGGCUGCGCUGCCCCCUGCCCCCGUUCCUCGCUAUUCCCGUGUACUGUGGAGAGUUGUUCUGGUUGUAUGCGCGUGUCUGCCUGCGCUGAACUUUCUCCCUUCGGACUGUCUUGCUCUAAGCUUAAACGAUAAGGUGGUCGCUCUCUCUGGCUUUACUCUGCCGGGUCCAGGGGAGAUUGUGCGCUGGUUCGGGUUCUGUUGGAAAGAAGGAGCCACAAUCUGCGAACUUCUCAUUGAGCAGUGUCGGAACUGUAUCUUGGACCUGAUAAACACGACAUCAGAUUUCAUCAGCUGAUUUUAUAACUUCCUUCAUUAGAAUUAGGAGCAUGAGGGUCUCCGUCUGUACACUGCAAAUUUUGAGUUCUGGAAGAUAUGAAGGACACGAGGUACUCCAGGACUCCAUCUGAAACAGAAGAGAACAGGACGCUUGAGCAAGAACUUACACACUGUAGCUGGAUUUGAUGCUGUCAGUUUGCAGUAAAAUUCCAUGUUUACUACGACAUGUUUGCCUGUAUGUCAUAGAGCUAAAAAUGUGCUUCGAUUCAAUUCAGUAAAUAUUUUUCAAAACAUGUUUAUCAACUGGGUAUUCAAACAUUUUUACAGUCAAAACGGUAUGGCAUGUAAAGUCAGCAUGUUGCACCAGUUAAAUAAAGCAUUUACUAUUUAUAUAUAACACUAUGGUCAAUGAAUAAUAGCAUUUUUAUGCAGAGAAAAACAGAACUUACAAAUUAAAAUAAACAUUACAGGAUUAACCUGGAUUUUUAAAACACUACAAGUUUUACUGUUUGGCGUUUUCACAUUUUACUAUUUUUGGACAUUUAAUAAGAGAGGACCCAACACUAAGUAGUAUUUUUUUUUAAAUAAUCAGAAUACUAGGUUUUUAAAUGGCUAUGGUAUUAAUGGUUAUUUUCCCUCCAGAUCCAUCAGCAACUUUUCUUUGCUAUAUGGACACCGUGCCUCUAGUUGCUCAUCCGAAACAGUGAUUUCAAAGGAAACAAGCAACUAACUGUUCUAGAAAAACUGGAUUUAACCGUCAAGAUUCUGUCUGAUUCAACACUGGCAACAUCCAAAUCAUCUUCAACAGCAGGCACCUGCCAACAACUUUCCCUUUAACAGAGAUUUCCCACGCUUACAUUAUGCUUAAAAAGAUAUGGUGUUCCAUUUAAUAUAUGUUUAUAUGAAUCAAUUCUUUACUGUUGAAAGUGAAUAAAAUUGUACUGUAUAAUGUAAUGUAAUUUACCCUUUGGGAUAAUUAAGUUUACCUGUGGGAGAAUCUUGGUUCUGAACAUUCCAGUAACUUUAACAUCGUAAAUAAGUGCUGUGAAACCAACAACACAAAACAAUGGGUAUCUGAUUGGUUAAAUGUAAUAGUUAUCUGUUGUCAUACAUUAAUAAAGAUAGUGUUUACUCUUUUAUCCCAAAUUACAAAAAAAUAUUAUUAGGAACCAUUUUUGUUUUUGUGAUUUUAGGGUGCACUCUGAUCACAAGAUUAAUACCUGACUAACAUAAUUUUUGAAUUUGGGUCAAUGAUGCAUCAUGGUUUCACAGCCAAGAAACAGGACAAUGUACGUUAUGGAUAUGUAGUUUAGCUCCUUAUUAAAUCAUAGCUGCGGGAUACAUUGUUUCUCAUAAAAAGUAAAAUAAAAAACUU